AUGGGAACGCCGGGCUGACACUGCAAUCAUGGCUUCAAUGUUUGAAUUGCAGAAUAAUUAGAUGGACUAUCUAGUGUAUAAAAGAUAUCUAUGGAUAUGAUUGACAUUAAGUUAUAUAAGUAUAAGUAGGAGGUCUGUGUUCAUUCAGCAAAAAUUUGCCAAACUUUGUUAAUGUUCUGAAUAUAGUGGAGAAAAUACGAAGAAGAAAAACAUUAAUGUUUUGGACCAAUUUAUAUUUAUUGUAGAAAUAAUUUGGCUUUACUCCAUGUGAGAUUAUAGGGUUUAGUUGAUCUGCUAGUUCGUCUGAAGAGAGAACUAUCAAAGUGUUGAAAAUGCAUUGAAACUCGACCAAGGUCUACUAUUAUAGUGUUAAAAUUUUUUUUUAUAUAUAUUUAUAUAUUAGUUACUAUUUUUGUGCUGUAUGCAAUGUAUAUACCAUCGAGCAUUAAAUAGAAUCAAAUACACUGUUUUAUAUAUUGUCA